GACGAACGCUGGCGGCGUGCCUAAUACAUGCGAGUAGAACGCUGAAGCGAGGAGCUUGCUCUUCUUGGAUGAGUUGCGAACGGGUGAGUAACGCGUAGGUAACCUGCCUUGUAGCGGGGGAUAACUAUUGGAAACGAUAGCUAAUACCGCAUAACAAUGGAUGACACAUGUCAUUUAUUUGAAAGGGGCAAUUGCUCCACUACAAGAUGGACCUGCGUUGUAUUAGCUAGUAGGUGAGGUAAUGGCUCACCUAGGCGACGAUACAUAGCCGACCUGAGAGGGUGAUCGGCCACCCUGGGACUGAGACACGGCCCAGACUCCUACGGGAGGCAGCAGUAGGGAAUCUUCGGCAAUGGGGGCAACCCUGACCGAGCAACGCCGCGUGAGUGAAGAAGGUUUUCGGAUCGUAAAGCUCUGUUGUAAGUCAAGAACGGGUGUGAGAGUGGAAAGUUCACACUGUGACGGUAGCUUACCAGAAAGGGACGGCUAACUACGUG
rnacentral:rRNA from 1 species